AUCCACAAUGGGGGGCAAGGUGUUGACGACGGGCCCCGCGUGCAGGUGAAUCACAAAGAAGACCUGUCGUGUGAAGGCAAAGGAAGAGGCUACAACAAAAAGUAAGCAUGAAACACACAUUUAGCCCACUCAUCUGAACUGAGUUCUAGUCCCAGCUUAAGCAUGGAAGCCAGCUGGGCGGGCCAGCCGCUUCUCUCAGUCCAACUACCUCACAGGGUUGUUGGGGAGAAAACAGAAGGAAGGUGUAUUAAGUAUGUUCACUGCCUUGAGUUAUUUAUAAAAAUAAUAAAGGUGGGAUUGAAAAGACUCAUCUCCUCCUUUCUCUCAGCAAAUAAUUUAAGAAUGGCAGCCGAGGCAGGCAGGCAGGCAAGGCUCUCUGCUGUGUUGCUCCAGCACAAAACUCUUUCCAGCACAAUCAAUCCAUGAUGGGCUUGUGCAACCAAAUCGAGGGGACCGUGGAACCCU